rnacentral:rRNA from 1 species
GACGAACGCUGGCGGCGUGCUUAACACAUGCAAGUCGAACGGUGAAGGGACUGGUUUUGCUGGUCCUGGAUGAGUGGCGAACGGGUGAGUAACACGUGAGUAACCUGCCCCCUUCUUCUGGAUAACCGCAUGAAAGUGUGGCUAAUACGGGAUAUUCUGGGUCUGUCGCAUGGUGGGCCUGGGAAAGAUUGCGCCUUUUUUGGUGUUUUUGGUGGGGGAUGGGCUCGCGGCCUAUCAGCUUGUUGGUGGGGUGAUGGCCUACCAAGGCGGUGACGGGUAGCCGGGCUGAGAGGGUGGACGGGCACACUGGGACUGAGACACGGCCCAGACUCCUACGGGAGGCAGCAGUGGGGAAGAGUGCACAAUGGGCGCAAGCCUGAUGCAGCGACGCCGCGUGAGGGAUGGAGGCCUUCGGGUUGUGAACCUCUUUCGCCAGUGAAGCAGGCCUGCCUCUUUUUGUGGGUGGGUUGACGGUAGCUGGAUAAGAAGCGCCGGCUAACUACGUG